ACUGAGUGGCAAACGGGUGAGUAUAAUGUGGGAAUCUGCCUUUUGGUUUGGAAUAACACGGGGAAACUUGUGCUAAUACCGAAUAAGCCCUUACGGGGAAAGUUUUAAUGCCAAAAGAUGAGCCCGCACUUGAUUAGCUAGUUGGUAAGGUAAAAGCUUACCAAGGCAAUGAUCAAUAGCUGUUCUUAGAGGAAGACCAGCCACAUUGGGACUGAGACACGGCCCAGACUCCUACGGGAGGCAGCAGUGGGGAAUCUUGCACAAUGGGGGAAACCCUGAUGCAGCGAUGCCGCGUGAGUGAAGAAGGCCUUUGGGUUGUAAAACUCUUUCGUCGGGGAAGAAAAUGACUGUACCCGAAUAAGAAGGUCCGGCUAACUUCGUGCCAGCAGCCGCGGUAAUACGAAGGGACCUAGCGUAGUUCGGAAUUACUGGGCUUAAAGAGCUCGUAGGUGGUUAAAAAAGUUGAUGGUGAAAUCCCAAGGCUCAACCUUGGAACUGCCAUCAAAACUUUUUAGCUAGAGUGUGAUAGAGGUAAG
rnacentral:rRNA from 1 species